UCUAAGAAAACUGCCGAAGACAGUAGGUGCCGUAUGGCAUAAGGAGAAAACGCCUACCGAGGAGUAAUGAAUUCUAUAUUAGAAUGCGUUAUGCCCUCUCUGUCUGUCAGACAGAGAGGUUUCUUGUUU
rnacentral:sRNA from 1 species